rnacentral:lncRNA from 1 species
AGGAGAGUGAGCUCCUGUGAACGGCUCUUCCCUUCCUCGUGGUGACCCGGGCCUCUGCUGCCACAUCCCAGAUGGCUCUUACACGUGGCCACACCAUGGCAGGGGGGAUAGAGACCAGGCGCCAUGAGGUCACAGGCCAGCCCUUAGGAUUCCGGCUGGGACAGAGGCAGUGCUUG